rnacentral:tRNA from 1 species
AAGACAUUAGUAAAAUGCAUAUUACAUCACCUUGUCAAGAUGAAAUUGUGAGUUAAAUCCUCACAUGUUUUA